GCUAUGUCGCAGGUUUUAUCGUUCUCGGCACUCUUUAUUGUUGUCGUAUUGAUGUGAGCUCUGAAAGCUUGAUGCUACACUUUGCUUACCACGAGCAUGACAUUAGAAUAAUAGAUAAAAAAAAUUUGCUUGUGUUGUUUAUACGGUGGAAAUAAAAUCAUACCGCCUUCAUGUUGUUAUUUAUCCGAUAAUAUUUGUUCAUAUCCGGUCCACUCCACUCCAUGUCCGCUCCGAAUCCGUAGCCGAAAUAAUCCGCAUCCAAUCGUAUCCAUUCCGAAUCCGACAAAAAAAAUAUGAUAAAAGGUAUGGAAAAAAAAUCAUUUUAUCCGAUUCAUAGAAAGAACAGAACGACGGAGCUGCUAGCUGCGGCCUCCAACGACCUCGCGAGUUUUGAGCCAGGAAUACAUGCAUACGCGUGGGGCGAGUUCGUCUCUGAGUUUGUUGGUCAUGGAGAAAACUCGUACCGGCCUCCUCUCGGAAAGAGCCAGAGUAAGAAACAGAAAGGAACUCUCGCAGGUCUCGGAAAGAGCCAGAGUAUGAUCCAAAUCUUCUCGAUAUAACAACUUA
rnacentral:lncRNA from 1 species